rnacentral:rRNA from 1 species
CCUACGGGAGGCUGCAGUGAGGAAUAUUGCACAAUGGAGGCAACCCUGAUGCAGCCAUGCCGCGUGAAGGAAGACGGUUUUAGGAUUGUAAACUUCUGUUCUUAGUGAAGAAUACUGACGGUAGCUAAGGAGCAAGACACGGCUAACUACGUGCCAGCAGCCGCGGUAAUACGUAGGUGGCAAGCGUUGUCCGGAUUUACUGGGUGUAAAGGGAGCGCAGGCGGGAAGCCAAGUCAGCUGUGAAAACGACGGGCUUAACUUGUAGACUGCAGUUGAAACUGGUUGUCUAGAGUGAAGUAGAGGUAGGCGGAAUGCCGAGUGUAGCGGUGAAAUGCGUAGAUAUUCUGAAGAACACCGGUUGCGAAGGCAGCCUACUGGGCUUUUACUGACGUUGAGGCACGAAAGUGUGGGGAGCAAACAGGAUUAGAUACCCCAGUAGUC